CUACGGGUUGCAGCAGUGAGGAAUACUGCACAAUGGGGGGAACCCUGAUGCAGCAACGCCGCGUGGAGGAUGACGCAUUUCGGUGUGUAAACUCCCUUUAUAUGUCAAGAAAAUGACGGUAGCAUAUGAAUAAGCACCGGCUAACUCCGUGCCAGCAGCCGCGGUAAUACGGAGGGUGCAAGCGUUACUCGGAAUCACUGGGCGUAAAGGACGCGUAGGCGGGUUGGAAAGUCAGGUGUGAAAUCCUACAGCUUAACUGUAGAACUGCACUUGAAACUUCUAAUCUAGAGUAUGGGAGGGGGAGAUGGAAUUAGUGGUGUAGGGGUAAAAUCCGUAGAUAUCACUAGGAAUACCUAAAGCGAAGGCGAUCUCCUGGAACAUUACUGACGCUAAGGCGUGAAAGCGUGGGGAGCAAACAGGAUUAGAUACCCGCGUAGUC
rnacentral:rRNA from 1 species